UACGUAGGGUGCAAGCGUUGUCCGGAUUUAUUGGGCGUAAAGAGCUCGUAGGCGGCUUAGAAAGUCAGGUGUGAAAACUCUGGGCUCAACCCAGAGACGCCACUUGAUACUUCUAUGGCUUGAGUUCGGUAGGGGACCAUGGAAUUCCUGGUGUAGCGGUGAAAUGCGCAGAUAUCGGGAGGAACACCUGUGGCGAAAGCGGCUCACUGGACCACAACUGACGCUGAGGCGCGAAAGCUAGGGGAGCAAACAGG
rnacentral:rRNA from 1 species